UACGGGGGGGGGGCAAGCGUUGUUCGGAAUUACUGGGCGUAAAGGGCGCGUAGGCGGCCUUCUAAGUCGGACGUGAAAUCCCUCGGCUCAACCGAGGAACUGCGUCCGAUACUGAAAGGCUUGAAUCCGGGAGAGGGAUGUGGAAUUCCAGGUGUAGCGGUGAAAUGCGUAGAUAUCUGGAGGAACACCGGUGGCGAAGGCGGCAUCCUGGACCGGCAUUGACGCUGAGGCGCGAAAGCUAGGGGAGCAAACGGG
rnacentral:rRNA from 1 species